AUCUAUGGCCAUACCACCCUGAAGGCACCUGAUCUCCUCUGAUCUCAGAAGCUAAGCAGGGUUGGGCCUGGUUAGUACUUGGAUGGUGCUGUAGGCU
rnacentral:rRNA from 1 species